AAUAAUUUUGUAAUAUCAUUUUAUAUAUGUUCGUAAUAUGGACGGACGUUUCUACAAAUAACCGAAAAUUAUUUUACUAUAAAAUGAGUCAUAUAGCAG
rnacentral:ncRNA from 1 species